rnacentral:rRNA from 1 species
UUUAUGGAGAGUUUGAUCCUGGCUCAGGAUGAACGCUGGCGGCGUGCCUAAUACAUGCAAGUCGAGCGAACGGACGAGAAGCUUGCUUCUCUGAUGUUAGCGGCGGACGGGUGAGUAACACGUGGAUAACCUACCUAUAAGACUGGGAUAACUUCGGGAAACCGGAGCUAAUACCGGAUAAUAUUUUGAACCGCAUGGUUCAAAAGUGAAAGACGGUCUUGCUGUCACUUAUAGAUGGAUCCGCGCUGCAUUAGCUAGUUGGUAAGGUAACGGCUUACCAAGGCAACGAUGCAUAGCCGACCUGAGAGGGUGAUCGGCCACACUGGAACUGAGACACGGUCCAGACUCCUACGGGAGGCAGCAGUAGGGAAUCUUCCGCAAUGGGCGAAAGCCUGACGGAGCAACGCCGCGUGAGUGAUGAAGGUCUUCGGAUCGUAAAACUCUGUUAUUAGGGAAGAACAUAUGUGUAAGUAACUGUGCACAUCUUGAUGGUACCUAAUCAGAAAGCCAUGGCUAACUACGUGCCAGCAGCCGCGGUAAUACGUAGGUGGCAAGCGUUAUCCGGAAUUAUUGGGCGUAAAGCGCGCGUAGGCGGUUUUUUAAGUCUGAUGUGAAAGCCCACGGCUCAACCGUGGAGGGUCAUUGGAAACUGGAAAACUUGAGUGCAGAAGAGGAAAGUGGAAUUCCAUGUGUAGCGGUGAAAUGCGCAGAGAUAUGGAGGAACACCAGUGGCGAAGGCGACUUUCUGGUCUGUAACUGACGCUGAUGUGCGAAAGCGUGGGGAUCAAACAGGAUUAGAUACCCUGGUAGUCCACGCCGUAAACGAUGAGUGCUAAGUGUUAGGGGGUUUCCGCCCCUUAGUGCUGCAGCUAACGCAUUAAGCACUCCGCCUGGGGAGUACGACCGCAAGGUUGAAACUCAAAGGAAUUGACGGGGACCCGCACAAGCGGUGGAGCAUGUGGUUUAAUUCGAAGCAACGCGAAGAACCUUACCAAAUCUUGACAUCCUUUGACAACUCUAGAGAUAGAGCCUUCCCCUUCGGGGGACAAAGUGACAGGUGGUGCAUGGUUGUCGUCAGCUCGUGUCGUGAGAUGUUGGGUUAAGUCCCGCAACGAGCGCAACCCUUAAGCUUAGUUGCCAUCAUUAAGUUGGGCACUCUAAGUUGACUGCCGGUGACAAACCGGAGGAAGGUGGGGAUGACGUCAAAUCAUCAUGCCCCUUAUGAUUUGGGCUACACACGUGCUACAAUGGACAAUACAAAGGGCAGCGAAACCGCGAGGUCAAGCAAAUCCCAUAAAGUUGUUCUCAGUUCGGAUUGUAGUCUGCAACUCGACUACAUGAAGCUGGAAUCGCUAGUAAUCGUAGAUCAGCAUGCUACGGUGAAUACGUUCCCGGGUCUUGUACACACCGCCCGUCACACCACGAGAGUUUGUAACACCCGAAGCCGGUGGAGUAACCUUUUAGGAGCUAGCCGUCGAAGGUGGGACAAAUGAUUGGGGUGAAGUCGUAACAAGGUAGCCGUAUCGGAAGGUGCGGCUGGAUCACCUCCUUU